AUAUCACUAUCGUUUUUGCUAAAAAAGCAACUCAUAUGUGUCCCGACUGAGGGAAGUGAGCACUUGCUCUCAGCUGACUAUGGAUAGCCAUCUUUCAUAAACCAUAAAUGCAAGCCUAUUGAAGAAAAAGCCUCAAGAUUUACCGUGGACCUACCUAAAUUAUAACAGUUCAAGUUUUAUGACCACAGAGAAAAUAUCCAACUUAUUCAGAAAAUGAAAGACAUCAAGAAGACCUGCUCAAAAGAAGCCUGCUUACCUUAAUGGAACCCAGCCUUUAGGUUUGACCAAGAAACCUGCUGACCACUGGAGCAUUUUGGCACUAUUGUUUCCACAGCCAUCCAUAGCCGACUGAGCCUGCGAGAAAUACUGACCUAAGUGCAGCCAACUGAUAGCACCAUAGUCUAUGAUCUGAAGCAAAGAGAUGAGAAAAAAAGAAAUUUCUCCAGAAUUUGGUGAAAGAAACCAAGAUACUGGGGAGACUGCGGCUGGAGUAAAAUCAGAACUGGAGAGAUCCAAAGGCUAUUCGUUCGCUGAAGUUCGGAGUGGGCAGAAAGAGUAAGUAAGAGGAAGAAGCUGGUCC